UCUUGCGGACACUCGUGGCUACGCUUCGCGUCGCCACUCGUGCCACAAGAUAGUCGUAUUACAAUAGGUCGCAUUGUAACACUUGUCUUUCAAUAUACUAUUGUAGGCUUUCUGUUUGAGGAGAUUCGCUAUGAAUUAGGCGGCCAAAGAGUUGAUGUUUACCGAAAUCCUGGAAUUACAUCAGCAUUAAAGGGAUACGUUUCGUAUACAACUACAGAAAGUAAGGCACUUAUUUGGGUUGGUCGCCAAAAAAUGAAGAACCUUUACAAGUUGAAUACAUAAAAACAGAUGAUAAUGUAUUCGAAAUACUUUGCGGUGUGCAUACCGCUUAAACACAUAUUUGGAAUGAUGGAAGAUUGUCAUCAAGUUAUUGUGAACAUGAAACAGAAGUUAAUUCUGAUUCGAUCAAGAAGCGACGCCGAUUGUUAUCAAUCCGAAGCAGAUGCAACAAUAAAGUUGAGCAAAAUCCAAUGGAAAGUGCCGAUGUGAGGAAACGAAAUUAAGGCCAGCACUGCACGUGGAAAUUAUUAAACUACCGUCAGACACGAAACGGCCUUGACAGCGAACCAGCUGAGACGCUGGGGCCCACUCACCGCCGACAGAGGGCAGUACGCUCCCGGGUAAAUACGAGGACGGAUCCGGAAAUAUUUUGUAUUAUUUUAUUUUUGUAUAUAGUUAUAAUUUGUUUAGCCAAUACACGUUUAAUUUUCA